UUAACUAUUGUAUUGAUACUCAGACUGCAUGAUUAAUCGAGUUUUGAUGUUUCCAUGACGGGCGCUCAGCAGCCGAGGCCACCGGUAGGUUUCCCCAGCGGGCCCGCCAAAGCAACGAAAGGUAGAUAGACACAGGGUUGGAGGUCAGGCCUGAAAGACCCUAUCUCUUUAAUGAUCCUUCCGCAGGUUCACCUACGGAAA
rnacentral:misc_RNA from 1 species